rnacentral:tRNA from 1 species
AAAUGUAUAGCUCAGUGUUAAAGUGUUUGCCUUGCAUGCAUGAGGUCCUGGGUUCAAUCCCCAAUACUUCCA